UGGGGAAUUUUGGACAAUGGGGGCAACCCUGAUCCAGCAAUGCCGCGUGUGUGAAGAAGGCCUUCGGGUUGUAAAGCACUUUUGUCCGGGAAGAAAUCGCACCUGAUAAUACCGGGUGUGGAUGACGGUACCGGAAGAAUAAGGACCGGCUAACUACGUGCCAGCAGCCGCGGUAAUACGUAGGGUCCAAGCGUUAAUCGGAAUUACUGGGCGUAAAGCGUGCGCAGGCGGUUGUGCAAGACCGAUGUGAAAUCCCCGGGCUUAACCUGGGAAUUGCAUUGGUGACUGCACGGCUAGAGUGUGUCAGAGGGGGGUAGAAUUCCACGUGUAGCAGUGAAAUGCGUAGAGAUGUGGAGGAAUACCGAUGGCGAAGGCAGCCCCCUGGGAUAACACUGACGCUAAUGCACGAAAGCGUGGGGAGCAAACAGG
rnacentral:rRNA from 1 species